GUCUCUGUUGUGUAAAGGAUGGCGCGUUGGACUUCUAAUCCAAAGGUGGUGGGUUCAAAUCCCGCCUGGGAUG